GUGACGUCAGGGGGCGGGGCGGGCCUUGAAUGGGGAGCAGCAUGCCGUCGCUUAGCCUCUUGCGCGGGGGCCUGUGGUUGAGUCGAGCUAUGAGCCGGUGCGUGUUGGAACCCCGACCCGCAGGGAAGAGGUGGUUGGUGGCCGGCCUAGGUAACCCUGGACUGCCCGGCACGAGACAUAGCGUGGGCAUGGCGGUGCUGGGGCACCUGGCGCGGCGGCUGGGUGUGGCGGAGAGCUGGGCGCGCGACCGUCGCUGCGCCGCCGACCUCGCCCUGGCCUCGCUCGGGGAUGUCCAGCUGGUCCUGCUCCGGCCACGGCGGCUCAUGAAUGCCAACGGGCGCAGCGUGGCCCGGGCCGCGGAGCUGUUCGGACUGACGGCUGAGGAGGUCUACCUGGUGCAUGAUGAGCUGGACAAGCCCCUGGGGAAACUGACCCUGAAGCUGGGGGGAAGCGCCAGGGGCCACAAUGGAGUCCGUUCCUGCAUUACCUGCCUCAACUCCAAUGCAAUGCCACGGCUGCGGGUAGGCAUAGGGCGCCCUACGCACCCUGACGCAGUGAAGGCGCAUGUGCUGGGCUGCUUCUCCUCCGCAGAGCAGGAGCUGCUGCCUCCAUUGCUGGAACGCGCCAUCGACCUGCUCCUGGACCACAUCCGUGAGCGAAGCCAGGGGCCCUUGUUGGGCACCUGAUACCAGUGGACACAGCUUCCUGCCUGACUGCCAUGCCCACACACCCAGCCAUAUCCACAGAGGUGCCACGCCAACCUGUGGAGCUGCAUGCCGUGCCGGGAGGCCUUGGACAGCUGCAGGGUCAUGGUGUUGUUCUCCCGGAUGACCCGCUUUGUCGUGUUCC